AAGCCUCUGUGAUUUGCCCUUUAUAGGUUGCAACAAGUUUAUUUAAUGUAUAUCUUUAGAAGGUUAAUAUGAAUGAGUCUCUGGGCUUUGUCUCUCAUAAACGAGCCAUUGUGUUAAAGAAUAAGUCUCUAUUGUGUUAACUACAGUUACGUGUGUUUCAUACGAUUGGAUAGAAUUAUUGUCAAUAUGUUGUUGCUCUAUGUGGGAUUGGCUGAAACUUGGACUGAGAUGGCUUUAUGCUAUGCUGUAAUGUGACGUUUUCUUGGCAUUCCAUUUGAAUCAGGGAGCUGUUCACAUCUGUUCUCUCCAUUGUCCUAACAAUGUACUGAUGUUUGAAAUAAACAGCUCACGGCACUGAUUUUGGGUGUCCUGUCCCUGUUCGUGGCUGUAUAUAAUGUGCUGAUGGCAAAAUGGUGCCUAUCCUCUGUGAGGAAGAUAACUAGACUAGGAUAAAAAAGAAAAUUGUGGAAAAACCCGGCUGUCGGAGACCCAGGUGUUAAUCAGGAGAAAUAUUUAAUCCCCUCAUCAUUUGCAUCUUCUGUGUUUGGCUCAUUCUUCACUUCCUGGAUGUUUAGUGGAAGGAAACACAAGAGCGGCCAAACUAACAACGGUUAUUUCAAACACUUCGCCAAACAUUUUGAACAAGCAAAAUUCAGUCAUGCUUUUUUCCACCAAAACACACAAACACUUCUGUGAAUGUUUCAAAUCUCUAAAAGUCAAGCUAAAGGUAUCAUCAAUACCUGCCCUGUCAGCUUGUGCAAUCUCCUGUUUCUACAGGAGUUGUCAACCCGCGAAGUUUGCAAAGUCUACAGUUUUGGCAAACAGACAUCAUUAAAUACCCUUCCUUUGGUAAAUUUAAAAAUAUUCAUGUCUCAGUGGGCACGUUCUCUGGUGCAAUUUUUGCUUCUCUUCACACAGAUGAAACAGGCAAUCAUGCCCGUCAUAAUUUUCUGCAAGCCUUUGCUUAAUUGGGUGUACCCCAAGAAGUAAAAACUGACAAUGGUCCCGCACAUGUAUCUCAAAAAUUGGCAAGGUUUCUAAAUGAAAGGGGUGUUUGUCACAUCUUUAGCAUUCCUAACUCUCCCACAAGCCAAGGAGAUCUUGAAAGGGCACAUAAAGCAUUAAAACGCAUUUUAGAUCAACAGAGGAGGAGUUGAGAUCACACCACAGAUGAGGAUGAACAAGGCUUUGCAUGUUACUAUUUUCUAAACAGUUCGUGUACAGACCCUGAUCCACACACCUUUAGGAAAUUUUAAAAUAACACAAAGGAAAAACUGCAAGAAAUUCCUCCUGUUUUCUAAAUAAAACCUGAAUCUGAACAAAUUGAAGGUCCUUUUCAACUAAUAACCUGGGUAAAAAGGGCAUGCUUCUGUCGUUAUAGGUGCUGGAAUUAAGUGGGCCCCUACCAAAAUGAUGAAACAAUAUUGCAGCCCAGAACGAGCUGAGGAGUCCAGAACUAAGACAGCAAGUACACAGUUUCUUUCUGGGACGAGAAAAGGAAUCUUGGGAACUUGAAAAGAAAGGCUUACAAAGACACUGGAAAGGACAUACGAUCAAAGGAACUGCAAUUAAAAAUCAAAAAAAAAGCAGAAAAUAGGCCGUUUUAGUGACUUCACAAACAAGGCUGUGAGGAAGUCAGCUGCAUUGCAGAGCACCAAAACAUGGCAAAACUAACCUCACAGAUGUUUCAAAAGCAGGGGAAAAAGUCAAGGAGGAAGACACAACUUAGGGGGGAAGAUAUGAGGGACAUAGCACAGAUCCUUAAAAAAAAACAAAAAAAGAAAACAAAUCUUUCCCAAAGUCAAAGCCAUCAAAAGGCACGGCAUGCCAUCAAGGGCAGGGACAUGCACCAAACAUUCCUCUAUUUGUGCCCAUUGAAAUCGCAAGAUUCCUUUUCCCUUCCCGAAAGGAAAUUUCAUUUCCUUUCGGGAAGAGAAAAGGAAUCUUGUGAAUCCCAAAAGAAAGGCUCACAAACACUCUGGAAAGGAGAUAGGUUCAAAUGAAAUGCAAUUGAAAAAACCAGAAAAUCGAGAAUUUUAGUGUCUUCAAAAACUAGGCUGUGAGGACAUCAGCUGCAUUGCAGAGGACCAAAACAUGGCAAAACUGAGCUCACGGAUGUUGCAAAAGCAGGGGAAAAAGUCAAGGAGGAAGACACAACUUAGGGGUAAGAUAUGAGGGACAUGGCAUGGACACUUCAUAAAAAAAAAAAAAAAAAAAGGAAAAAUCUUUCCCAAAGUCAAAGCCAUCAAAAUGCAGGCAGGCCAUAUGCCAUCAAGUGCAGGUACAUGCAGCAAAGCUUGCCAAAAUUGAUCCCCACUGAAGGCCAAACAGAAAAGAAGGACUUACAAACACGUUGGAAUGGAGAUACCAUGAAAGGAACUGCAAUUGGAGGAGAAAAAUACAAAAUUUGGGAAAUUCAGUGACUCUAAGAAAAUGGGGUGGGAUUAUAUCAGGUGCAGUGCAAAGGACCAAAACAUGCCAAAACUAAGCUCACAGAUGUUACAAAAGCAGGGGAAAAACUCAAGGAGGAAGACAAAAUAUGGAGGGGGAGAUAUGAGGGACAUGGCAUGGACAAUUCAUAAAAAAAACCAAAAAAAGAAAAAAUCUUUCCCAAAGUCAAAGCCAUCAAAAGGCAUGGCAUGCCAUCAAGGGCAGGGACAUGCACCAAACAUUCCUCUAUUGGUGCCCAUUGAAAUCACAAGGUUUCCUUUCCCUUCCUGAAAGGUAGGCUGAACAAGGCUUUUGAUGUUUUUAAUUUUCUAAACAGUUCGGUUGCAGAACCUUAUCCACCAAUCUUUGGGCGGUUUUCAAAUAACCCACAGGCAAAACUGAAUGAAGAUCCUUCUGUUUUAAUUAGAAUUUCUGAAUCUGGACAAAUUGAAGGUAGUUUUUGAUUUAUAACCUGCGGCAAAGUGUAUGGUUCUGUCUCUACCGGUGCUGGAAUUAAAUGGGUCCCUGCCAAAACAUCAAACCAUAUCACAUCCCAGUACAUGUUGAUGAGUCCAGAGCCGAGGAAGCAAGUACGCAGAUGUGAGCCGAGCAGAGGGAUUCCGGGUCACGCCUGACAUUCCUUGUGCCUGACGUUCUUUUUGCAUCGGUGGAACCUGCAAACUCUGAUUUUGCGUUAAUGUUAUUUAUGAGCGUGUCGAUGUAUGUUAAAUGUUUGUUUAACAGAGCUGAGUUUAGGCAAAAGUUUAGGUUUUCGUUUUUGUGGAGAACAAAAUUUAAAAAUUGAUAUAUAUGUAAGGAUUCUGCCAAAACUUAGCUAAUGAAAAUGAUGGAGCAAUUGCAAGUUUUAUGUUGGUAUUGGUGGAUUUUAAUUGUUUUUUGUCAUGCAGAUUUGCCUGUGGAACUACCAAAAACAAAUGUUUGGGUGACGUUAGCCAAGGCAGCCGGCUCGGAUACUAUAUGUUUGUCUAAUUCGAAACCAGAAAAACCUUUUUCAACCUGUCUGGUUGGUGUGCCAGUAAAAGAGUCGCCUUUGGUCAAAAAACAAUCCAAUGAUAAGCCAGGUGAAAUUGACAAUGGAAACAAUCCCUCAUUGAAUUGGAACGUUUGGUCCAAAAAACUUCCCAGGGCAGCAUCUGAACCCCAAGAAUUAGAAAUCCUUGGCUCUUUAACAAUGGAUUUUUGCUUUACCUUCAUAGCUAGUGCAUGGCAAAAAGGUGAUCCUCCAAAGUACAAUGCUACUCCUCAUUAUUUUGCAUACAGAAAUUUGAGUUUUUGGUGUAAUUUUUCAAAUAGUUGGGAUGUACUUUCUGAGGCUGACCAAUAUCCACGGCAAUUGCCGAAGGGGCAUUGGUUCAUUUGUGGAGACAGAGCUUGGCAAGGCAUUCCAGCACACCUUGAAGGUGGCCCUUGUAGCAUUGGGAUGCUCAGUACAAUUGCACCCACUGCUAACGCGGUCAUGAAAAAUAAACAAAGGAGAACAAGAGCUGUUUCUCAUUAUGAGGAGAACUGUCAGAGUGAUUUCAGGCCUUGGAAAGCGGCAAGAAGGGUUUCAGCAGGUAUAUUUUUACCCCAAUUGGCUUCAGCAGUGGCACUGAAACAAUUAGAUUGAGUUGGAUGCUGGCUGAGCAAACAAGCUAAUGCCACAUCCUCUGCAAUUAGUGAUAUGUUAACCGACGUUUACAGUGUUAGACAUGAUACCCUACAAAAUAGAGCAGCAAUUGAUUUUCUUUUACUGGCACAAGGGCAUGGUUGUGAAGAAUUUGAAGGAUUGUGUUGUAUGAAUUUGUCUGAUCAUUCAGAAUCCAUUCACAAAAGCAUACAAAAACUGAAAGAUUUGACAGCUCAAAUUAAAGAAGAUGGUGGUUCCUGGCUGGAUGAUUUGUUUCAAGAAUGGAGCUUUGCACCUUGGCUAAGGCAACUUUACAAAUAGGUCUUUAUGUAUUGGGUGUUCUGGUAGUGAUAUUGAUAGUAAUGCCCUGCAUACUUCAGUGUGUGCGGUGAAUGAUGAAUAAAAUGGUCCAAGAAGUUUUUGUCAUACAAGAGAGAGAGUUAGGAAGUAGAAGCACAGAGAGUGUUUGAAAUCUCAUGGAAAUGCUAGGCGACGGUGCAGAAAUGGAGGAGGGUUUUGAAUUAAGACCCUGGAAUCGACAAGAGUUUUUCGAACAAUGACUUGUAACUAUUGUCAGACGUGAUUCAUAUCUCUUUCACUGACUGGGCCUUCACAGAAUCAAGUUGCUGUGCUGUAACAUAGCAAUGCUUAGGAUCAGCAAGAAUAGGCCUCCAGCAGAUAGUAAGCAGAAAUUUUAUAGUAGGGCCAUGAAACGCAAGUAGUAAAUGACAUGAGUAUGGAGGUUUCUUUUUGGGUCAACAGAGAGGGGGAGUUGUUGGGAUCCAUAAAAUUAGAGGGUUUUGAGAAAGUGGUAAAAAAGACAGGCCUCAGACAGCAGAUUUGUGAACAGUGCUAAUGCAGCAGAAAAAGUUUUCUAAGCUGUAGAGCAGAUGUGAGAAAUAGAACAAUAAGCCUCUGUGAUUUGCCCUUUAUAGGUUGCAACAAGUUUAUUUAAUGUAUAUCUUUAGAAGGUUAAUAUGAAUGAGUCUCUGGGCUUUGUCUCUCAUAAACGAGCCAUUGUGUUAAAGAAUAAGUCUCUAUUGUGUUAACUACAGUUACGUGUGUUUCAUAUGAUUGGAUAGAAUUAUUGUCAAUAUGUUGUUGCUCUAUGUGGGAUUGGCUGAAACUUGGACUGAGAUGGCUUUAUGCUAUGCUGUAACGUUACAUUUCCUUGGCAUUCCAUUUGAAUCAGGGAGCUGUUCACAUCUGCUGUCUCCAUUGUCCUAACAAUGUACUGAUACUGAUGUUUGAAAUAAACAGCUCACGGCACUGA